UGGAGACGGGGGCACAGGGUGUGGAAGGUCAUCCCCAGUCCUCCUGGUGCCGCUACAGCCUCAUCACCCUCAGCUCUGCAUUUCCAAGUGCUCCAGCUGGUGGAGGUGCUGGGAUCCCCAAUUCUUACCACUCCACAAAGGCAACCCCCCCAUCCAUGAGUUUCGGUACCUGAUACCCAGCUCUGCCCAAUCCAGGCAGGAUGUAACGCUCUACCAUGGAACCGGGGCACCUCCAGACUUUGGGGGGCAUGUAUUUGGGAUUCUCAUCCUGCUCAUCCCUCCUGCUGUGGCACAACCCGGAUCCAGCCGGGGAGCAGCCCGGGCACAGGGCGGGAGCACAGGGGAGACCAGGAGGAACCAGGAAGUGCUGGCGACAGCAGAGGCACCGUGACCCCCCCAUCCUCCCACUGCACCAAGCUGAGACUGCCUUAAGACGUGUAGCUGCUCUCCGGUGCGUCCCGGUGACACGGUGACAGCCAGACACAGCGCCAGCGGCAUCCACCGGGCUCCGGUACCG